rnacentral:rRNA from 1 species
UACGAAGGGAGCGAGCGUUAUUCGGAAUCACUGGGCGUAAAGAGCGUGUAGGUGGUUAAUUAAGUCAGCUGUUAAAUACCUCGGCCUAACUGAGGAAAUGCGGUUGAUACUGAUUGGCUUGAGCUUAGAAGAGAGAAGUGGAAUUAUCGGAGUAGCGGUUAUAUGCGUAGAUCUCGAUAGGAACACCGAUGGCGAAGGCAGCUUCUUGGUCUAAUGCUGACACUAAAGCGCGAAAGCGUGGGGAG